AUAUGCCUGGCUCCCUAUAUGCCAUCUUCAGAGCUCAUUGGAACUUUAAUGGCUUCCGUGGAUGGCGUAUAUGGAGCCAAGCAUAU
rfam:Lupinus angustifolius cultivar Tanjil chromosome LG11, whole genome shotgun sequence.